rnacentral:rRNA from 1 species
UACGUAGGGGGCAAGCGUUGUCCGGAUUUAUUGGGCGUAAAGGGCGCGUAGGCGGUUUCUUAAGUUUGGAGUGACAGUGGGUGGCUUAACUACCCAAGGCCUCUGAAAACUGGGGAACUUGAGGACCAGAGAGGGACAUAGAAUUCCGGGUGGAGUGGUGAAAUGCGUAGAUAUCCGGAGGAAUACCAAAGGCGAAGGCAGUGUCCUGGAGGGUGACUGACGCUCAGGUGCGAAAGCGUGGGGAGCGAACCGG